GAUGAACGCUGGCGGCGUGCCUAAUACAUGCAAGUCGAGCGAAUGGAUUAAGAGCUUGCUCUUAUGAAGUUAGCGGCGGACGGGUGAGUAACACGUGGGUAACCUGCCCAUAAGACUGGGAUAACUCCGGGAAACCGGGGCUAAUACCGGAUAACAUUUUGAAUCGCAUGGUUCGAAAUUGAAAGGCGGCUUCGGCUGUCACUUAUGGAUGGACUCGCGUCGCAUUAGCUAGUUGGUGAGGUAACGGCUCACCAAGGCAACGAUGCGUAGCCGACCUGAGAGGGUGAUCGGCCACACUGGGACUGAGACACGGCCCAGACUCCUACGGGAGGCAGCAGUAGGGAAUCUUCCGCAAUGGACGAAAGUCUGACGGAGCAACGCCGCGUGAGUGAUGAAGGCUUUCGGGUCGUAAAACUCUGUUGUUAGGGAAGAACAAGUGCUAGUUGAAUAAGCUGGCACCUUGACGGUACCUAACCAGAAAGCCACGGCUAACUACGUGCCAGCAGCCGCGGUAAUACGUAGGUGGCAAGCGUUAUCCGGAAUUAUUGGGCGUAAAGCGCGCGCAGGUGGUUUCUUAAGUCUGAUGUGAAAGCCCACGGCUCAACCGUGGAGGGUCAUUGGAAACUGGGAGACUUGAGUGCAGAAGAGGAAAGUGGAAUUCCAUGUGUAGCGGUGAAAUGCGUAGAGAUAUGGAGGAACACCAGUGGCGAAGGCGACUUUCUGGUCUGUAACUGACACUGAGGCGCGAAAGCGUGGGGAGCAAACAGG
rnacentral:rRNA from 1 species